AACGUAGGACACAAGCGUUAUCCGGAGUUACUGGGCGUAAAGGGCGUGUAGGCGGAGAUGUAAGUCUAUUCUGAAAGCUCCUGGCUAAACUGGGAGAGGCGAAUGGAGACUGCAUAUCUAGAGUGAGGAAGAGGAAAGUGGAAUUCCGCGUGUAGUGGUGAAAUGUGUAGAGAUGCGGAGGAACACCAGUGGCGAAAGCGACUUUCUGGUCCUUAACUGACGCUGAGGCGCGAAAGCAUGGGGAGCGAACGGG
rnacentral:rRNA from 1 species